AUGCCCUCUCCGGCCGAAAUCCCCUUGCCCUGGCCCUGCUCGCUACAUGGUGCUGAACAUUCAACCAAGGAGGGGUGGUGCCUCUUCUCCGGCCUGUGCAUACCAUCCCCAACGCCAACAUCAAAGAGGGAUGAUGUGAAGGGGGCGGCGGCCCGCUGGAACUGGAGGACCAGCACCGAGGGCCUGCCGCGCGGGAUCGUCGAGACCAGCUCCGACAUGUUCCUCCGCCCGCUCUGGGACUCAACCGCCAAGCACACCAACACCAAGGGCAGGGCAGACAACAUGUGCCGUCAACCGUUGAGAGUUCAGCUGUCACCAAAUGAGCAGCUUGCUGUUGAAGAAACCUUCAAGUUGUACUUGAUGUUUCAAUCUUAUAAUUGCAGGUGUAUUCACCUCAUCAUACCAUCGGUUCUAAUCAAGGCCACAGUCACUACCCGGAAGGAGAUGUCGGGGUUGUUAUUGACUGGGAGGAGGCAAGGAGCAGGAGGCAGCAUGGGAGGCAGUAGGAGAGCUUGUAGAUGGUGCCUCACCAGUUGGACGGCGUUCAGGCGCAACCCCGACACGCACUGA
rnacentral:rRNA from 1 species